CGACGCCGACGACCCCACGUCUAGAGUAAUACAACACGGCCGCGUUUUCGCAUUGUACGCCGUUUUUACCGCCGGAACACUUUUUUUUUUUUUUUUUUUUUUUUUUUUUUCCUAUUACCGUGUGGGGCGAUAUCUGUUUUAUUGCACGAAUUUCUGUUUACGAAAUUACCGUUACCGAAAAAAAAAAUAUUUUCCCACAACCUACAGCAGUAACCGCGCGACACCCGCAAAACUUUGCGCUUACCGAAAUGACAUUAUUGCCGAAACAGCGCUCGCCGAUUUUCUCACGCGCGUUUUUCCGUUAAACCGAUUCGCUGCAAGCGGUUGUACACCCAUGCAUGACGCGAAAACGCGUCUAAAUGUAAAGACAAUUACGUGAUAAUUAUAUUGCGUUGUAAUCUUCUAGCGUAUUCCGCCAGAGAACCGCGGCCGGGGGGAGGCGGAGAGGGGGUUACUCUUCGGGCGAAAUGUAUCGCCCCCGCCCCAACUCUAGAAAACACAAAAAGUUACUCUAUAUAUAUAUAUAUAUAUAAAUAUACACUUUUAAUGUUAAAUAAGUGUACCGCCCGCUUAAAUGGAUCGCCUUGUAUGUAUGUAUGGACCAGUCUGAAGCUCAACCAACAGGGGCAUGGGGCAGAGAAAGGUUGAUUUAAAAUUAUGUUACAUCUCGGGUUCCCCCGUCUCGAAAAAGUUAAC